GUUCAAGUGAGAAUUUGCUAGAAUCGGGGGUCCAACGAAAAUUUCCCUUUUCUUGUCGUAGCAAAUACUAGCGACUUUCACAGUUCACCCUGGGGAAGUCGAUCUAAGGCCAUCUCCAAAGGGGUCGGCAAAUCACCAAAAUAAAUGGCGCAAAACUUCUCCAAAGGGCGCGGCAUCGCGGUAAAAGUUUGGCGGAGGAUGAACAGUACAUCACCGAAAUCACCAAAAUAAAUGGCGCAAAACUUCUCCAAAGGGCGCGGCAUCGCGAAUUUGGUGCAGAAUUUGGUGCAAAUGGUUGGAGAUGGUGCAGUGUGCUCCGAAGAAGAAGAAGAGAUAUAGAAAAUGAGAAAGAUUCAUAGUGAUCUAUUUCUUUUCAUUGUCUGUUUAUGUGUUCUCUCUUCAUCUGUUCUUUCCGAUCUGAUCAUCUCCAAGGCCGAUCGAAAGAUUGAUUUGACAUCCCAGAUAGUGAGGAGCACUACUACUUUGAAGGUGGUGAUUAGUACUAUCUCAUUUAUCCCCUUUUUGAAGUUUUUCUGGUGCAUUUACAUCUAUUUUCGUGGUUGAAAAUUCUGGCAAUGAUCCUGCAUCAGAGGUCUUGUUACCUUUCCCUGAUGUCGUGGCAAAGAACUUGUCAUUCCUGAGGGUAACAACUAGUGAAGGGAAAGAGAAAAAGUAAAACUUCUUCAAGUAACCUCCCUCUUAAAGCUGUCAUGAUGGAUUCCCUCAGGGCUGACUUGGUACGCUGUAUCUCUGCCUAGCAAACUAGGCAAGGGUAGAUCUCACAUUAAAGCUUAAGAAAUGCUAAAACCUCAUACGCUUUGCCGGGAACUUGAAUUCUUGGGUUGUUUACAAAAUGGGUCUCAAUGAGGGGUAUUUAUACCUAUUCUAUCUCCUCAAUAGACGAUGGAGAUUGAUUUGAAUCUAUGACUAAGAUUCUAUCUCUAGAAUUGUCCCUAAAACUGUAUACGUUUUAUAAUGUUCUGGAAGAUUAUAUGAAUUUCUACAUCAUUAGUGCUA